rnacentral:lncRNA from 1 species
ACCUGAAUAUUGUCAAAAACAAAUAUCCUAAGCACAUUUACUUUACAUUUAGCGUAUAACCAUAAUCUCUAACCUAGGUUUUAUCAUACAUAUCAAAACAUAAAAUACCAUGGUAGAUGCAUAUAACAUACUAGCGUGAAAAAGAUAAAACAGUUAAAAUCUUUCUCAAUAACUUGUUUCAAAUUCAGCUUGUACUUGUAUUUUGACUAUAUCCGAUCAAAUAAUUCUUAAAACUACAUUAUCACUAUGACCUCCCGUCCUUAGUCGUAUUUGAUAACGUGAAUUUCCACAACCCCCUGAGUCCGGUAAUUCCCGGCCUAGUACCUCCCGAAAGGUAGAAACAUGAUGGUACCAUUAGGCCAUUACAUACAAAAAUCUUUUCAAAACUUUUCAUCUAUUCCAUGGAUUUAAAUUUGCCAUACAUAACAUAAUUUCAUGCCUAUAUAAGAGUAUCAAAAAGUUAAUUUAUUCUACUUUAGAGAAUUUGGUUUACUUUACACUACCUUAGAGAGUAGGGUUACUUACACUACCUUAGAGAGUAGGGUUACUUACUUGGCUUGUUUGGAAAUUGUAUUAAUCUCGUUCGUUGUAUUCCUUAAGGCUAAUCGUAUCGAUUCCUUACAUUUUAUUGUUGACAUAAUUAUAAUUAUACUUCCCUUUAAUAUUUAUAAGUAAUUAAUUUAUAUUUUUCAAGUAGUAGUCUAAAACUAUAGAUAUUUUUUAUUCAAAAAUUAUUAUUUAUUAUAAAUUUUUAAAAACGUAAUGGUUUUAAAAAAAUUUCACUUUCGCAGAACUAAAAAAAUUUCAGAUUUUUCUGUUCGGAUCCAAGCCUGUUUUGAGCUAUUUAACUUGAAAUUUGAAAAUACUAUUUCACAUAAACUUGUAGGUAUUGUUAAAAUAGCUAUCUCAGAAACUUGAAUCCAACUAAAAUGUUUUUCGUAUGAAGAAGUUAUGGCUAAAAUACCGACAGUGGGUCAAAAUAAAAACAAUAACUAGCUUAAUUUUUCUACUCGUCCUUUCAAGUCCUGUUGGGUCAUUAAACUUCGAAUUUUAAAAAUUCUUAUUUCACAUAAACUUAUGAUAUUAAAAUUAAUUCUCAGAAUCUUGAAAUCAACUAAAUGUUUUCAUAUGAAGAGUUAUGGCCAAAAUACUGACAGUUGGUUCGUAUAAACAACAAUAACUUAUUUUUCUAUUCGUUAUUUCCAAUUCUGUUUUCGACCCUUUAAAUUAAAAUUGGAAAAAUUGUAUUUCACUAAAACUGUAGAUAUAUUUAAAGUAUCUUUCAUAUGAAACUUGAAAUCAAAAUCAAAACGAUAUCAUAUGAGGAAGUUAUGGCUAAAAUAUACUACUGGUCCCGGUGUAAAAAAUUUUAUUUCAUCCAUACGAAAUUUUGGUUUUUCCGAAAAAGAUUUCAAAUAUAAAACAUAUUUUGGGAUAUCUUAACAGAUUAUUUAACACUAAAACAUGAGUUAAAAAAUAAUAUUCAACAUAUCGAAUUUAGGCAAAGAAGUAGAGAAAAAAUUAGAAUUUAACCUCAAAAUUUCCUCUCUCUUCUUUCUUUUUUUUUUUUUUUUUUUCUCUCUUAGAAACUUCCUCCUCUCCUCUUUCUUCUAUUCUUUCUCCUAUUCCCAUAUACUCUCCUUCUCAUCUCACACCCAAUCACAUAUAAUAUAUAUAAAUAAAAACAUAUUAUUAAUAUUUUAUUAUUCUAUAUUAUUUAUUAUUUUAUUUUUUUAUUUCUUCUUUCCACUUCGUCGGCGGACAAACUCUCUCUUUUUUUUUUUUUUUUCUUUUCCUCUUUUUCUCAUUUCUCGUUCGGCAGUUGUUGUCUCCCACCCCAUGCAAUUACACUUUUGUCCCCUCACUUUUAUAUCUUCUUUAAUUUUAUAUCCCAAAAAUUAAAUCACUUUUUAAAUUUAAACACUCAAAUGAACGUUAACAUUAUCUACUUAAUACUUAGAAAAAAAUUUAUUACUUUUCAUAAUUAAUAUCUAUUGUACAUGUUUCAUAUUUAUUGUAUCUAUUUUACUCUAAGUUCUUAAUUACUAUUAAAAUUCGGGAUGUUACAAUACUAUUUCUGUAAUUGCUACUAAUUCCUAGACUGUUAUAUGACAAUGAUGGGUAUUGCACGUUCUGGUGAAGUGAUUAUAUUGACAAUGAAGGGGGUUAUGGCUAAGUUUAUAGCCAUGUUUGGAAGUUUUAGACAUGAAAAGUCAUAUUUUUAACCAUAAAAUGAGUUGUUUAGAUGAAAAAUACACAACAAAAAAAUAAGAAACAUUUGAGUUCUUUGAGAGAGAGACAUAUAAAGUUUAGUUAGCCAAAGCUGCUUCAGAGGUGUUCUGAAGUUAUUGGUUAUAGCCGUUUUAUUAUGGAAGGAAGACGUCGAUGACACCCUACAACACUCUUGGUAGGUGUCCCCCCCCCCCCCCCCCCCCCCCCCCCACCCCCCCCCCCCCCCCCCGCCCCCCCCCCCCCCCCCGAAAUUUUUCUUAAAGACUCG